rnacentral:rRNA from 1 species
AAAACAUGGUCUUUUGGGUUUUAUAAAAGAUUUGACCUGCCCAAUGAUUUUAUUUAAUGGCUGCAGUAUUUUGACUGUACAAAGGUAGCAUAAUCACUUGUCUUUUAAUUGGAGUCUAGAAUGAAUGGUUUGAUGAAAAAUAUACUUUCUUUAUUUUAUUGGGAAAAUUUAAUUUUUGAGUUAAAAAGCUUAAAUUUGUUUAUAGGACGAGAAGACCCUGUAGAGCUUUAUUUUUUAAAUUUUUAUGCUUAUUUUAGUUAAUGUUUGGGGUGUAGGAUGAUGGGAAUUUUGUUGGGGUGACAAAAAAAAUUUAAUAACUUUUUUUAAUUUUAUCAUUAUUCGUGUGUUUUUGAUCCUUUUUUAUGGAUUUAAGAUUAAGUUACCUCAGGGAUAACAGCGUUAUUAUUUUAGAGAGUUCAUAUCGAUAAAAUAGUUUGCGACCUCGAUGUUGGAUUAUAAUAAGAUAUAGGAGUAGAAUAUUAUAUUCUAGGUCUGUUCGACCUUUAAUUUUUUACAUGAUC